UACAGAGGUGGCAAGCGUUGUUCGGAAUUACUGGGCGUAAAGGGCGCGUAGGCGGCCUUCUAAGUCAGACGUGAAAUCCCCCGGCUUAACCUGGGAACUGCGUCUGAUACUGGGAGGCUCGAGUAUGGGAGAGGGAUGUAGAAUUCCAGGUGUAGCGGUGAAAUGCGUAGAUAUCUGGAGGAACACCGGUGGCGAAGGCGGCAUCCUGGACCGAGAUUGACGCUGAGGCGCGAAAGCCAGGGGAGCAAACGGG
rnacentral:rRNA from 1 species